rnacentral:rRNA from 1 species
GUAGGGAAUAUUGCACAAUGGGCGAAAGCCUGAUGCAGCGACGCCGCGUGAGUGAUGAAGGCCUUCGGGUCGUAAAGCUCUGUUGUACGGGAAGAAAUGCGGAUGGCUAAUAUCCAUCCGAGUUGACGGUACCGUAUCAGAAAGGACCGGCUAACUUCGUGCCAGCAGCCGCGGUAAGACGAGGGGUCCUAGCGUUGUUCGGAAUCACUGGGCGUAAAGCGUAUGUAGGCGGGCUUUUAAGUCGGGUGUGAAAUCCCACGGCUCAACCGUGGAAUUGCAUUCGAAACUGAAAGUCUUGAGUGUGGGAGAGAUUGGUAGAAUACCUGGUGUAGUGGUGAAAUACGUAGAUAUCAGGUGGAAUACCGGUGGCGAAGGCGGCCAAUUGGCCCAACACUGACGCUGAGAUACGAAAGCGUGGGGAUCAAACAGGAUUAGAUACCCUGGUAGUCC